GGUGGAAAGCAAGAAGUCUGAACAGAGUACUCAUUCUGAUGGGACAUCCCAAACAAGCCCUGGUGGGUGUCAUGAGCCAGGGGCUAAGUAGCACCCUAAAGGCACAGGAGUACAGGACCAGAACCUACAAGGGACUAGUCCGUUGUCCAUUUGACACUGACAUGAUGUCAAUGGCGCGUGCGUGCGCGCACACACACACACACACACACACACACACACACACACACACACACACGGGCUGGUGUCUAUAACCUUUUCCCGCUUGCUAGCUAGCUCUCCGAGACCCUGAGGUGUCCUCACCCACACCUCUAGCCCCUGUGGACCCACACGUAAUGUUCCUCUUCUCCCACUGUCUGUCUGCAUCUCUAACAGAGUUCUGUACUCUACCAUCCACAGAGAGCCUCAUGGCAAGAACUAGAGCCUACAGGCCUUCCCUCAGGUUGUUGGGAGGUUUUUGUUUGUUUGUUUUUUUAUUUUUGUUUGGUUUUUGGCAAGACAGUGUUCCCUGUGUAGACCCGGCCUGGCCUGGUACUCUGAGAUCUGCCUUCCGAAUGCUGGAAUCAAAGGCUUCGCCACCACAACCGCCACCCGCCACCACCCAGCUACUUCCCUGAGUCUUAAACACUGCGUGUGCUGAGUAAGCGAAUGAUGAGUACGUACCCAUUUACAGAAGGGGAAAGUGAGGCUCAAGAAAGGACACAAAGUGAACUCUUUCCAGGAGUAACAACAUCGAGAUGGACCUAAUGUCGCACUUCUGAGGGGGCAAAGAAGGCUAAAACCCCUGAUGCUUAGGGUCCAGAACCCUUGAUGGUAUUCAAAGUCAACUACUUCCAGCCUUGAAAAGCCAUAGUAGCAACAGGUCCCGGGUGCUUUCAGAGCAGGAAAAGUGGGCCUGGUGCCGCAAAGCGAAGGAGAAGCAGAGCUGGGUGUGGUGGGGUACGCAGGAGGCAGAGGCAGAUGAACUCGGAGAGCCUGGGGCCAGCUUGGCCAACAGAGCAAGUUCCAGGCGAGACACAGUGAGACCUUAUCUCUGUGUAUGUAUGCAUGCGUGUAUGUAUGUAUGUAUGUAUGUAUGUAUGUAUGUAUGUAAUUGGGGAGGAGGAGGGGUGAUGGGGGAGAGUUAAAACAGAAUUUCUCCAUAGCCUUGGCUGUCCUGGAACUCACUCUGUAGACCAUGGCUGGCCCCUUGAACUCAGAGGUUUGCCUACCUCCCUCUGCCUCUGGAGUGCUGGGAUUAAAGGUGUGCCACGCUGCUGGGUUAGGCCCUAUGAGGACUAGAAGAGGGGGAGGCGGGGAGGAGAGAGAGGAGGAAGAAGAGGAGUAAUAGAAAUAACAACAAUCACGGGAAUGAAGAGGCCUGGACAGAGAACAAUGGCGGUGGGGGGGCAUGGGCAGCUUCACUGGUAAGGACAGGUCAGGGAGUUGGGAAAGCUGGGUCAGAUGAACUUCCUUUUCCUUUGUAGUGCUGGAGACCAAACCCAGUGAUUCAGCCGUGCUAAGCAAGCACACCACGACCAAGCUACCCCCAGCCCCAUUAACUUUCAUACUUUGGCACAGGGUCUCGCCGGAUUAUUCAGGCUGACUUAGAAUUUGUGAUCCUUCUGCCGUAGCCUCCCCAGUAGCUGAGAUCACAGGCCUGUGACAGUAGGCCUGACUCGGUGGCCAUUUUAAGGACUGAUAGGGUGACGGAAGUAGAGGUCUUCUGGGGUCCACUACUGGAGGCCCUGUUCGUGUCGGCUGGUGCUGGGAUUGCCUAGAAAGAAGGCACUUGGAGACUUGAUCUGGGCCAUGGGAGACAGGAGCCGUUGCCAUCAGUGCCCAGGGCGCUAGCAUAUGUCUGAGUUGGGAGCGAGCGCGGGAGGGACUGCUACUGAAUCUCCUGCACUAGGAAGGCUCCAGGCGUAGCAGAAUCUGAAUCUCAAGUGGCCAUUAGCCCCAUUUAGAAUCACAGAGAGAGAGAGAACCAAGCUGUCUUCUAGAUAACCAUCAGACAGCUCCCUAAUGGCCACCAGACAUCCUUCCCAGGCAGGAGACACUUAGCCGACUCGGGGGUGAGACAAAACAGUGUUCCCUCCUCCCCCCAGCCAACAGCACACCAGUGAUUCCUGAGAUCAAAGACCCCGCAGUCAUCUUGGGCUCAUCCUAGCAGGCUGCCAUCAGCCAAUACCUUUCUGUGCUAGGGCCAGUCCCAGGGUCACAGAGCCAGAACUCUCUGAAGUUGCCCUUCCUUUCUUUCAACUCUUCAGCCUGAGCGCUGGCGUCCUACUGGUAGGGGCUUCUGCAGGGGCUGGAGAGAUAAUCACUGUCAGGGACGGGUGCCACUGGUGUGUAGCAGCUCGGGUCAGGGAUGCUACUCAAUAAACCUAACAAGCCCACCACCCGGCCCCAUACAUCAAGGAUGCAGAGGCAGGAAACCUGGCCGAGAGCCGAGCCUCUGCAGCCAGGCACGUGUGAGUCCUAACUUGGUCACACUUGCACUGGUGACUCUAGGCAAAUUUUUCCAUCCUUCUGAUGGUGGUGAUGCUGACUAAGCAUGCUACCGUACUCAAUAAAUGGAAGAGAAAGGAAGACAGACAGACAGACAGAAAGAUAGAAAGACAGAAGGAAAGAGAAGAGGAAAAGCAGGAUGCUCCUGGGGAUGGUAGAGGAGAAAGUUUAUUAUAAAUAAAAGGGAGAGAGGAGCCAGAGGCAGAGGCAUCUGAGAGAGUCCAAAGUGAACAAGGCCAGACUGAGCUGGGCUGUGUGAGCACAGGUAGGGAAGGAGAGCAAGAGAGGAGCCACUGCCGAACAAUAGGGUAGCCUGUAGCUUCUUAACUCAGUGUCUCAGUGAAGUGGUUGCCACAGAGGCAUGAGGACUAAGUUCAGAUCCUUGGCACCCACAUGAGAGGCUGGUGUAAUGGGGCGUGCUUGUAUCUCGAAUGAUGGGGCUAGCCAAAGCAAGAACUCCUGACUCAGAGAGACCUUGCCUCAAAAACUAACAUGGGGGACUGGGAGAUGACUCAGCAUUUAAGGGCAACACCUGUUGCUCUUGCAAAGGACCGGGGUUCGAUUCCCAGCACCCACAUGGAGGUUCACAACCAUCCGUAACUCCAGUUCCAAAGGACCCAUCACCCUCUUCUUCUGACCUCCACAGACACCAGAUGAUACACUUGUAUGCAGGCAAAACACUCAUACAUUAAAAAAAAUAAAAAAAAGGCAACAACCAUAACAACCAAAACACAGUAAGCUAUGUAAAUGCUAACGUUCACCUGUGAGGCUGCUUGCCCAAGGACGGAUAACUUCCCCUGAUCGCUAGGGGCCAUUGUUCAUGGGAGAUAAUAAGUCGUGUGUUUCUGCUUCAGUAAACCAGAUUGGUUUGCCCCAACUACAUGGGAUGUUCUUGAUCACACAGGAAGUGUGUAGCCUUAUGUGUUUUGACUUUAUAGCACCCGACUGGCCUAAUUCAGACCUAUUCUCUGGGAAUCCCAGCUAUGGACCUGACCACUGUCCAUCUUCCUGUAUUUCAAUAAAGCUUGCAUUAAUUGGA